rnacentral:sRNA from 1 species
UUUCUGCCAAGAAUAUGUUUUGUUCUGCCAACUAAAUUAAAAAAUUUAAGAGAAUUAAGAAUAUAUAAUGCCCAAAUGGUCAAAUGACAAAUCGUUAUCAUUAUAGAGUAUUUGUUUAAGCAAGUUUACCAAGCUUGCGAAACUUGUUGGAGUAGUUUGUCUAUGUUAAUUCUGUACGUAGGGAACUUUGUUUUUAUUUUUAUUUUCAAUUAUGUGUUAGAUAUUGUUAGUGCACCCUCUAUCAGGACAGACCAGAAGGAGUGCUGAUUGCUGGAACAAGCUGGAAGCUGUUUCAGAAGACUAAAGUGAAGAUCAAGUAAUUGAUGCUGACGUGGAUAUAUCGCCAAAUGAACGAAUGACGUGGAAAUCACAACAGGAUGAGUUCAGUUUGGAGAGGAGAUAUUCGCGCGAAGAUUUGGUGUGAUCCAAGAUCUCGAAGGCUAACCUAGAAGACCAAAGACCUCGAUAGUAUAAAUAGAGGUGCUAAGGUUCUUGUUAGACUUGGCCGUGAUAGUUGUGAAAAGUAAGUGCAAAGCUUUUCAUUGUGAGAGAGUAAGGUUUACUCUGAUUAGGAUUCUAGAGAAAUCAAAGAGUGUGUUCUUGUGAUUAUCUCUUGUGUGUGUUAGGAAAUCUAAGGUGACAAACUAAAGUAGUUUAGAUCUUGUGUAAAACCUAUUAAGGUAGUUGUAAACUUCUUAAUCAGAUUUCUAAUAAAGUAAGACUCAGUGGUUCUGAGUUUGGGGAAUAUAGUUCUUGGUUCAUCCGGAUUUUCAAUUGGUAUCAGAGCAGGCAUCUGAACCAAGUUGUACUUAACAACAGGUGCAGAUCCUGCGGAGAGGAUGGACUACCCCAAAGAGUUCGUUGCGGUUGGUAAGGCAAUUAUGCUGGAAAAAGGAAAUUACGGUCACUGGAAAGUAAAGAUGAGAGCUCUAAUACGUGGUCUGGGAAAGGAAGCCUGGAUUGCCACUAGUGUUGGAUGGAAAGCUCCGGUUGUCAAAGGGGAAAACGGAGAGGAUGUGCUGAAAACUGAAGAUCAGUGGACUGAUGCAGAAGAAGCAAAGGCCACGGCAAACUCAAGAGCUCUGUCUUUGAUUUUCAACUCUGUAAAUCAGAAUCAGUUCAAGCGAAUUCAAAACUGUGAGUCAGCUAAAGAAGCGUGGGAUAAACUCGCUAAAGCUUAUGAAGGUACUAGCAGUGUCAAACGGUCCAGAAUCGAUAUGUUAGCUUCUCAGUUUGAAAAUCUCACUAUGGACGAAUCUGAAAACAUUGAGGAGUUUAGUGGAAAAAUAAGUGCUAUAGCAAGUGAAGCACAUAAUCUUGGGAAAAAAUACAAAGACAAGAAAUUGGUCAAGAAACUGCUGAGAUGUCUUCCAUCUAGAUUCGAAAGCAAGAGAACUGCUAUGGGGACGUCGCUGGACACUGACACGAUAGAUUUCGAAGAAGUAGUAGGAAUGCUUCAAGCAUAUGAGUUGGAAAUCACUUCAGGAAAGGGAGGCUACUCUAAAGGAGUUGCAUUAGCUGUAUCAUCAGAGAAAAACGAGAUUCAGGAAUUAAAAGAUUCAAUGAGUAUGAUGGCUAAAAACUUCAGCAGAGCAAUGAAACGAGUUGAGAAAAGAGGAUUUGCAAGAAAUCAGGGUUCAGACAGAGACAGAGACAGAGACAGAGAUCGUAACUCAAAGAGAAGUGAAAUUCAAUGUCACGAAUGUCAAGGGUACGGACAUAUCAAAGCUGAGUGUCCCUCUUUAAAGAGA